rnacentral:rRNA from 1 species
GUGAGUAAUCACUUAGGAAUCUGCCUAUUAGUGGGGGGACAACAUUUCGAAAGGAAUGCUAAUACCGCAUACGUCCUACGGGAGAAAGCAGGGGAUCACUUGUGACCUUGCGCUAAUAGAUGAGCCUAAGUCGGAUUAGCUAGUUGGUGGGGUAAAGGCCUACCAAGGCGACGAUCUGUAGCGGGUCUGAGAGGAUGAUCCGCCACACUGGGACUGAGACACGGCCCAGACUCCUACGGGAGGCAGCAGUGGGGAAUAUUGGACAAUGGGGGGAACCCUGAUCCAGCCAUGCCGCGUGUGUGAAGAAGGCCUUUUGGUUGUAAAGCACUUUAAGCGAGGAGGAGGCUACUCUAGUUAAUACCUAGGGAUAGUGGACGUUACUCGCAGAAUAAGCACCGGCUAACUCUGUGCCAGCAGCCGCGGGUAUACA